ACUAAUCUUUCCUUCAAUUUGCUUUCAAUAACAUUAACUUCCUUUCUUCUCAUUCAUCCACCCCACCGAUCUGAACUAAAGCCCAGAGUUGCAGGCUUAUGGAAGUGAAAUCUGUGGUUCUCUGGUAAUGACCUGGACUCUUCCACCUUUUGGUUCACCCCUCACUAAUCUUCUGAUAAUGAAUGACCAAGCAACUCCUAUGAGCCCAGCUUCUUACAGACAACUGCAUCAGAAUGAAAUAUAAAAAGCUACCUGAAGGUGUUGGAGAAUGAACAAAAGCAAGCAGGUGCUAGAGGAUGAUCAUCACUUGAAUAAGGUCCCUAAAAACAGGAACUAAAUCUCUAUGGCGAUCAUGGAAGUGACAGACCAUCCUAGACUACUGUUUCUAAGCUUGUAGCUGAGCUGACAACUCCAGCACCUGCAAGUUGGAACUCAGCUACCCAGAAGCAUUCCAGUGACCACAUGAGCAAGGAUGGCCGCUACUCGAAA